rnacentral:lncRNA from 1 species
GGAGAGGGGACUGUGCCAGUUCCCUGGACAAUCCCAGCUGCUUCAUCUUGGACUGACAUGGACACCAGGCAGUAACACCCUCUCUUGGGAGUUGGUGGGAACAGGUGUAAUAUCAAAGCUCCCAGCUCUGCACUCUCCUGUCACAUAGGAAGACCUCAGAAAAUGGAGGUUCCUUCCUUUCCACCUGCACUGGGGGAGUGCAAUGAGCAGAAGAAAAGCGAAGGUCCCUCCGCCUUCUGAGAUCAGCUGACACCUGAGCUUAGGUGCAUCCCUAGCCCUGCAGCCUGUUGCUUCCCUUGACCGCCACCCCCACCUCCAUCUUCAAGGCUGUGCUGGGCACUCCAGGCUGGGCCUGACGCGUUCCAAAUCUGCAGCUCCCCUCACUCUGCAUCCUGGGCUUCCACCACUCUCCAGGAGAGUGGGAGACGCCUGAGCCAUGGGUGGUGAGAAGCGGCAGUCCUGUGCCGCCUCAGUGCCCCACUUGCCUCCUUCGUGGAAUGGACUUGACAUCCCUGCCUCGCUGGCCAGGGCGUGGCCGAAACCUACCCAGGAUGUAGGAGCACCUGGCACAGCGCUUGGCCAGUGAGGCGGUGGUUGCAAUAAUAAUAACCAUCCCUUGUUGAACAUUCACCAGAUAACCAAAUUCUCCACACCGCAUUUCACUUAGGCCUCCCUACCUAAGAGCUGGGUCCUAAUUCACUGGUUCUGUACAUCAGGAAGGCAAAGCACAGACAGAGCACACCACCACCUGCAGCUGUCUCCUGCCUCCAGUGCAUCAGAGUCUGGAGCGUGUUGCUUCUCUGGAGGGAGAUAAAGACACAGUGGCUACCUGGGGAGAUAAAACAGCACCAGCAGUAAUCAGGGGUUCCAGAGAGGAGGGAACCUGGCCCUGGGCUAUGUGUGUAUCAGUUGUGAUAUGCAUAAUCAUCUUUGGUCUUAUUUUUUCCAAGUGACUGGAAAAGUUCAUUUCUAGCUUACUUACCUCUGUUCCUUCCUUAAACUCCUCUAGCCUGGCUUUUGUCUCUGCCAUUCCUACUAAAACCACUCUGCUCAAGGCUGUCAUCAGUGUCUCCACUGCCCAGCCCUGGACUGUCAGAGCCACUCCGGGACAGUUGCACCAGAUGCAUGAGUUUCCUGAUACAGCGAAAUCUCAGCAGGAGUUGAUACCCACCUGCCUGGUGCUCUGGGAUGAAUUUCUGCACAGAUGCAACCUCUGUGGGUGGAAGCCAGGAUGAAGUAUAUGCAUCUGUGAAGACUGGCCUUCCAUCUGUUUUCUGAUGCAACCAAAAUGCUUCAGGGCUCGUCUUAUCUGGAGGUUUGAUGGCUACAGACGUGAGGGGCUUCCAGGUAGAGCUCAGACCUGAGACUUCUGGUCCCCUGUCUGGACAUCUGUAUGAAGACGGAGAAGCACCAGCCAACCUCUCCACAACCCUCACCAAGUUCUCAUGGAACAUCCUCUGAUGGUCCCUCUCGGUGCUGGGUUCUGGCAGGAGAAAGAGAAGUCAGGGAACAGAAGAGCUGCUCUGCCAAAGUCAUCCCCUUCUUGGAGACACAGGGAACUCCAUCUCUCAUUCUCACUAGCAAUUUGCUGUGGCAACUCAAAUGUUUUUCCAGAUGGAACAUAAGCAGACGUGAUGUGUUUGCCCUCCAGGUCUAACCCAUGCAAAGCCUCCUGGGAACACACCUCACGCUAUUUUCUAUUCCAUCAGGUGGAUAUGGAUGAUGAUUAGGAACUAGGGUGAGGUGGAGCCAGAAAACACAAGGAGCCUGGAUCCCUGAAUGACCACAUGGACAUACACAUGCUGAAGACUGCCUUGUAAGCAGGAAAUAAACAUCUACUGUAUUGAACCUUUGCAUGUAGGGACUAUUUUUUAUAGCAGCAUAGCUUUACUCUGACUAAUACAAUCCUUGCACUCAAG